rnacentral:rRNA from 1 species
AGCGAACGCUGGCGGCAGGCCUAACACAUGCAAGUCGAACGAACCCUUCGGGGUUAGUGGCGGACGGGUGAGUAACACGUGGGAACGUGCCUUUAGGUUCGGAAUAACUCAGGGAAACUUGUGCUAAUACCGAAUGUGCCCUUCGGGGGAAAGAUUUAUCGCCUUUAGAGCGGCCCGCGUCUGAUUAGCUAGUUGGUGAGGUAAUGGCUCACCAAGGCUACGAUCAGUAGCCGGUCUGAGAGGCGGACCAGCCACAUUGGGACUGAGACAGGGCCCAAACUCCGACGGGAGGCAGCAGUUGGGAAUCUUGCGCAAUGGGCGAAAGCCUGACGCAGCCAUGCCGCGUGGAUGAUGAAGGUCUUAGGAUUGUAAAAUCCUUUCACCGGUGAAGAUAAUGACUGUAGCCGGAGAAGAAGCCCCGGCUAACUUCGUGCCAGCCGCCGCAGUAAGAC